CCUACGGGGUGCAGCAGUGAGGAAUAUUGGUCAAUGGACGAGAGCCUGAACCAGCCAAGUAGCGUGAAGGAUGACUGCCCUAUGGGUUGUAAACUUCUUUUAUAUGGGAAUAAAUUGUUCUAUGUGUGGGAUUUUGUAUGUACCAUAUGAAUAAGGAUCGGCUAACUCCGUGCCAGCAGCCGCGGUAAUACGGAGGAUCCGAGCGUUAUCCGGAUUUAUUGGGUUUAAAGGGAGCGUAGGUGGAUUGUUAAGUCAGUUGUGAAAGUUUGCGGCUCAACCGUAAAAUUGCAGUUGAAACUGGCAGUCUUGAGUACAGUAGAGGUAGGCGGAAUUCGUGGUGUAGCGGUGAAAUGCUUAGAGAUCACGAAGAACUCCGAUUGCGAAGGCAGCUCACUGGACUGCAACUGACACUGAGGCUCGAAAGUGUGGGUAUCAAACAGGAUUAGAUACCCUUGUAGUC
rnacentral:rRNA from 1 species